CAGUCGCCGCGGGAAUACGGAGGAUCCAAGCGUUAUCCGGAAUCAUUGGGUUUAAAGGGUCCGUAGGCGGUCUUGUAAGUCAGUGGUGAAAGCCCAUCGCUCAACGGUGGAACGGCCAUUGAUACUGCAGGACUUGAAUUAUUGGGAAGUAACUAGAAUAUGUAGUGUAGCGGUGAAAUGCUUAGAGAUUACAUGGAAUACCAAUUGCGAAGGCAGGUUACUACCAAUUGAUUGACGCUGAUGGACGAAAGCGUGGGUAGCGAACAGGAUUAGAGACCCCAGUAGUCCCUGUCUCUUAUAA
rnacentral:rRNA from 1 species